GGAGCUCGUAGGCGGUUUGUCACGUCUGCUGUGAAAUCCCGAGGCUCAACCUCGGGGUUGCAGUGGGUACGGGCAGACUAGAGUGCGGUAGGGGAGAUUGGAAUUCCUGGUGUAGCGGUGGAAUGCGCAGAUAUCAGGAGGAACACCGAUGGCGAAGGCAGAUCUCUGGGCCGUUACUGACGCUGAGGAGCGAAAGCAUGGGGAGCAAACAGGCUUAGAUACCCUGGUAGUCCAUGCCGUAAACGUUGGGAACUAGAUGUGGGGACCAUUCCACGGUGUCCGUGUCGUAGCUAACGCAUUAAGUUCCCCGCCUGGGGAGUACGGCCGCAAGGCUAAAACUCAAAGGAAUUGACGGGGGCCCGCACAAGCGGCGGAGCAUGCGGAUUAAUUCGAUGCAACGCGAAGAACCUUACCAAGGCUUGACAUAUACGAGAACGCGCUGGAGACAGCGAACUCUUUGGACACUCGUAUACAGGUGGUGCAUGGUUGUCGUCAGCUCGUGUCGUGAGAUGUUGGGUUAAGUCCCGCAACGAGCGCAACCCUCGUCCUAUGUUGCCAGCACGUAAUGGUGGGAACUCAUGGGAUACUGCCGGGGUCAACUCGGAGGAAGGUGGGGAUGAGGUCAAAUCAUCAUGCCCCUUAUGUCUUGGGCUUCACGCAUGCUACAAUGGCCGGUACAAUGGGCUGCGAUACCGCAAGGUGGAGCGAAUCCCAAAAAGCCGGUCUCAGUUCGGAUUGGGGUCUGCAACUCGACCCCAUGAAGUCGGAGUCGCUAGUAAUCGUAGAUCAGCAACGCUACGGUGAAUACGUUCCCGGGCCUUGUACACACCGCCCGUCAAGUCAUGAAAGUCGGUAACACCCGAAGCCGGUGGCCUAACCUUUUGGAGGGAGCCGU
rnacentral:rRNA from 1 species